rnacentral:rRNA from 1 species
UGGGGAAUAUUGGGCAAUGGGCGAAAGCCUGACCCAGCAACGCCGCGUGAAGGAAGAAGGCCUUCGGGUUGUAAACUUCUUUUAUGAGGGGCGAAGGAAGUGACUGUACCUCAUGAAUAAGCCACGGCUAACUACGUGCCAGCAGCCGCGGUAAUACGUAGGUGGCAAGCGUUGUCCGGAUUUACUGGGUGUAAAGGGCGCGUAGGCGGACUGGCAAGUCAGAUGUGAAAUCCAUGAGCUCAACUCAUGAACUGCAUUUGAAACUGUUGGUCUUGAGUAUCGGAGAGGCAAGCGGAAUUCCUAGUGUAGCGGUGAAAUGCGUAGAUAUUAGGAGGAACACCAGUGGCGAAGGCGGCUUGCUGGACGACAACUGACGCUGAGGCGCGAAAGCGUGGGGAGCAAACAGG